GACGAACGCUGGCGGCGUGCUUAACACAUGCAAGUCGAACGGUGAAGCGCCUUCCUUUUUGGUUGGUGUGGAUGAGUGGCGAACGGGUGAGUAACACGUGAGUAACCUGCCCCCUUCUUCUGGAUAACCGCAUGAAAGUGUGGCUAAUACGGGAUAUUCUGGGUCUGUCGCAUGAUGGGUCUGGGAAAGAUAUUGUUUCGGUGGGGGAUGGGCUCGCGGCCUAUCAGCUUGUUGGUGGGGUGAUGGCCUACCAAGGCGGUGACGGGUAGCCGGCCUGAGAGGGUGGAGGGUAACACUGGGACAGAGACACGGACAAGACUCCUAAGGGAGGCAGAAGGGGGGAAUAUUGCACAAUGGGCGCAAGCCUGAUGCAGAGACGCCGCGUGAGGGAUGGAGGCCUUCGGGUUGUGAACCUCUUUCGCCAGUGAAGCAGGCCUGCCUCGUUUGUAGGUGGGUUGACGGUAGCUGGAUAAGAAGCGCCGGCUAACUACGUG
rnacentral:rRNA from 1 species